rnacentral:tRNA from 1 species
AGUAAUAUGCCUGAUAAAAGGAAUAUUUUGAUGAAAUACUUAUGUAAUUUUUUACUAUUACUA